rnacentral:rRNA from 1 species
GGGGAAUUUUGGACAAUGGGCGCAAGCCUGAUCCAGCAAUGCCGCGUGCAGGAUGAAGGCCUUCGGGUGGUAAACUGCUUUUGUACGGAACGAAAAGCCUCUCUCUAAUACAGGGGGGUGAUGACGGUACCGUAAGAAUAAGAACCGGCUAACUCCGUGCCAGCAGCCGCGGUAAUACGGAGGGUGCAAGCGUUAAUCGGAAUUAUGGGCGUAAAGCGCACGUAGGCUGCUUUGUAAGUCAGGGGUGAAAUCCCACGGCUCAACCGUGGAACUGCCUUUGAUACUGCUUAGCUUGAAUCCGGGAGAGGGUGGCGGAAUUCCAGGUGUAGGAGUGAAAUCCGUAGAUAUCUGUAGGAACAUCAGUGGCGAAGGCGGCCACCUGGAACGGUAUUGACGCUGAGGUGCGAAAGCGUGGGGAGCAAACA